CAGAGUAGGUGUUGGAGAGAGAGCUCAUU
rnacentral:piRNA from 1 species